CACCGCCUGGGGAGUACGACCGCAAGGUUAAAACUCAAAUGAAUUGACGGGGACCCGCACAAGUAGUGGAGCAUGUGGUUUAAUUCGAAGAUACGCGCAGAACCUUACCAACACUUGACAUGUUCGUCGCGACUUUAAGAGAUUAAAGUUUUCGGUUCGGCCGGACGAAACACAGGUGCUGCAUGGCUGUCGUCAGCUCGUGUCGUGAGAUGUUGGGUUAAGUCCCGCAACGAGCGCAACCCUCACUUUUAGUUGCCAUCAUUUAGUUGGGCACUCUGAAAGAACUGCCAGUGAUAAGCUGGAGGAAGGUGGGGAUGACGUCAAGUCCUCAUGGCCCUUACGUGUUGGGCUACACACGUGCUACAAUGGUAUCUACAACAGGAAGCAAGACGGCGACGUCUAGCAAAUCCUUAAAAGAUACCUCAGUUCGGAUUGCACUCUGCAACUCGAGUGCAUGAAGCUGGAAUUACUAGUAAUCGUGGAUCAGCGUGCCACGGUGAAUGCGUUCCCGGGUCUUGUACACACCGCCCGUCACACCAUGGGAGUUGGUUCUACCUUAAGGCAAGGUUUAAAACCCUUGACCACGGUAUAGUCAGCGACUGGGGUGAAGUCGUAACAAGGUAGCCGUAGGGGAACCUGCGGCUGGAUUACCUCCUUUCUAAGGAUGAGUAAAAGUUAAUCUUUCUAUUAUAAAUAAUUCACAGGCAAUGUUGACUGUCCUCAUUUCUUUUCUUAGAUAUAGUGUUUCUCUCGCAUGGGGGUCGGUAGCUCAGGUGGUUAGAGCACCCCUUGAUAAGGGUGGGGUAGAAAGUGAGAGUCUUUCUCGCCCCCACCAAUUUAUACAUUAAGGGGGAUUAGGUCAGGAGGGAGAGCGCUUGACUUUCAUUCAGGAGGUCAGUGGUUCGAUCCCUCUUUCCUCCACCCUAAACAUUUAGUUAAAAAAAAUUGUGAAUAAAAAAUAAUUAAUCUCAAUAUAUAUAUCCGCACAUUAGAAAUGUUAUUAAAUAAUGUUCAAUAAAAAUUUGAUUCAACACAGAAUUUUUUUCUG
rnacentral:sRNA from 1 species